rnacentral:rRNA from 1 species
UCGAGGGGUAUAGGUUUUCGGACCUAGAGACCGGCGCACGGGUGCGUAACGCGUAUGCAAUCUACCUUUUACAGAGGGAUAGCCCAGAGAAAUUUGGAUUAAUACCUCAUAGUAUAAUGACUCGGCAUCGAGAUAUUAUUAAAGUCACAACGGUAAAAGAUGAGCAUGCGUCCCAUUAGCUUGUUGGUAAGGUAACGGCUUACCAAGGCAACGAUGGGUAGGGGUCCUGAGAGGGAGAUCCCCCACACUGGUACUGAGACACGGACCAGACUCCUACGGGAGGCAGCAGUGAGGAAUAUUGGUCAAUGGGCGCAAGCCUGAACCAGCCAUGCCGCGUGCAGGAUGAAGCAUCUAUGGUGUGUAAACUGCUUUUGUACGAGAAGAAACACUCCUACGUGUAGGAGCUUGACGGUAUCGUAAGAAUAAGGACCGGCUAACUCCGUGCCAGCAGCCGCGGUAAUACGGAGGGUCCAAGCGUUAUCCGGAAUCAUUGGGUUUAAAGGGUCCGUAGGCGGUUUUGUAAGUCAGUGGUGAAAGCCCAUCGCUCAACGGUGGAACGGCCAUUGAUACUGCAAGACUUGAAUUAUUGGGAAGCAACUAGAAUAUGUAGUGUAGCGGUGAAAUGCUUAGAGAUUACAUGGAAUACCAAUUGCGAAGGCAGGUUGCUACCAAUACAUUGACGCUGAUGGACGAAAGCGUGGGGAGCGAACAGGAUUAGAUACCCUGGUAGUCCACGCCGUANACGAUGGAUACUAGCUGUUCGGAGNAAUCUGAGUGGCUAAGCGAAAGUG